AUAGCACACAUCUGACGGUAGGAACAGGACAGGCUCAGAGUCGACCCUGGGUAAGAGGACACAAAAUAGAAUGGCUGAACCGUGGUCACUUGCAGCAUAACCAGGACUGUCAGAUGAGGGCUCUCCAUGAGAGCAAUAUGGAGGAGAUCAAAGGUCAAGAGUCCAAUCGUGAAUUCCCAAGGGAGGAGACAAGAUCCUGGAAGAUAAGGAGACAGGCUUGAUGAGGUUAAGAGACUAGCUCAAGGUUUGAGAAUUGGAACCCCAGCUCAUCAGGAACCCAGCUCUUGAAUUUCUGAUCCUGGAAUUGUUUUACUGCACCAUCCUGCUUUUCUUUGUAUGUGCAUAAACUGAGAUUGUCCCAGUAAAAAGUUUGGCCUUCCUUCUGUUGAGGUCCUGAACCUGGUUCAUUAAAAGAUGAGCAGAUACAUGUACGUAUGUGUAUCUACGUACACAUACACACACACCUCCCUUUAACAUAUUUAUAACAUCCUUUCCCCCCCAAAAAAAACCCACUAAGAAUCAUUGCAUCUUCUCUAUAUCAGCCAAAAUUUUGACGAUCUUUAAGUAGCUCAUGUUAUGAAACUGAAAGUUUUUAUUUUCAAAUGUAAAUAAUAUGAUAUUGCAAAUGCUUUUUUAAAGACAUACUAGGCCCCA